AUGUCUUGUCCGCAAGGGCGCUAUACAGGUGGUGCAUGGUUGUCGUCAGCUCGUGUCGUGAGAUGUUGGGUUAAGUCCCGCAACGAGCGCAACCCUCGUUCUGUGUUACCAGCAUUUAGUUGGGGACUCACAGGAGACUGCCGGGGUCAACUCGGAGGAAGGUGGGGAUGACGUCAAAUCAUCAUGCCCCUUAUGUCUUGGGCUGCACGCAUGCUACAAUGGCCGGUACAAAGUGCUGCGAGAUCGCAAGAUUGAGCGAAUCACAUAAAGCCGGUCUCAGUUCGGAUUGAGGUCUGCAACUCGACCUCAUGAAGUCGGAGUUGCUAGUAAUCGUAGAUCAGCAACGCUACGGUGAAUACGUUCCCGGGUCUUGGUACACAC
rnacentral:rRNA from 1 species